ACGGAGGGUGCAAACGUUGUUCGGAAUCACUGGGCAUAAAGAGCACGUAGGCUGCGCGCUAAGUCAGGUGUGAAAUCCCCCGGCUCAACCGGGGAACUGCUCCUGAUACUGGCGUGCUCGAGGACGGUAGGGGUGAGUGGAACUCCAGGUGGAGCGGUGAAAUGCGUAGAUAUCUGGAGGAACACCGGUGGCGAAGGCGGCAUCCUGGACCGAGAUUGACGCUGAGACUCGAAAGCGUGGGGAGCAAACAGGA
rnacentral:rRNA from 1 species